rnacentral:rRNA from 1 species
UACGGAGGGGGCUAGCGUUGUUCGGAAUUACUGGGCGUAAAGCGCACGUAGGCGGCUUUGUAAGUUAGGGGUGAAAGCCCGGAGCUCAACUCCGGAACUGCCCUUAAGACUGCAUCGCUUGAAUCAUGGAGAGGUUAGUGGAAUUCCGAGUGUAGAGGUGAAAUUCGUAGAUAUUCGGAAGAACACCAGUGGCGAAGGCGACUAACUGGACAUGUAUUGACGCUGAGGUGCGAAAGCGUGGGGAGCAAACAGG